UACGGAGGAUGCAAGCGUUAUCCGGAAUGAUUGGGCGUAAAGCGUCCGCAGGUGGCUGUGUAAGUCUGCUGUUAAAGAGUCUAGCUCAACUAGAUACAAGCAGUGGAAACUACACGGCUAGAGUACGUUCGGGGCAGAGGGAAUUCCUGGUGUAGCGGUGAAAUGCGUAGAGAUCAGGAAGAACACCGGUGGCGAAGGCGCAUCUGCUAGGCCGUAACUGACACUGAGGGACGAAAGCUAGGGGAGCGAAUGGG
rnacentral:rRNA from 1 species